rnacentral:rRNA from 1 species
GAUGAACGCUGGCGGCGUGCUUAACACAUGCAAGUCGAACGGAAAGGCCCAAGCUUGCUUGGGUACUCGAGUGGCGAACGGGUGAGUAACACGUGGGUGAUCUGCCCUGCACUUCGGGAUAAGCCUGGGAAACUGGGUCUAAUACCGGAUAGGACGAUGGUUUGGAUGCCAUUGUGGAAAGUUUUUUCGGUGUGGGAUGAGCUCGCGGCCUAUCAGCUUGUUGGUGGGGUAAUGGCCUACCAGGGCGUCGACGGGUAGCCGGCCUGAGAGGGUGUACGGCCACAUUGGGACUGAGAUACGGCCCAGACUCCUACGGGAGGCAGCAGUGGGGAAUAUUGUACAAUGGGCGCAAGCCUGAUGCAGCGACGCCGCGUGGGGGAUGACGGCCUUCGGGUUGUAAACUCCUUUCGCUAGGGACGAAGCGUUUUUGUGACGGUACCUGGAGAAGAAGCACCGGCUAACUACGUG